rnacentral:misc_RNA from 1 species
ACUUUUUCAUGGUAUACAGAGGUAUCAGGAUAUAAAUUUUGGUAGAUUCAAGCCAAGCAUCCAACUUAUGAUAAAGGUUAUGUAUUGCUAAUUAUCAACUAGCAUUUGCUUGCGACUUGCUUUUGAGAAUUAUAUUAUCAUUUCAAUCAUUAAUGCUUCAGUUAUAAACCUCUACAAUACAAUUUCCAACAUUGUCAAAAGUUAAUAUUUCUUGUUGA